GCAAGGAGCCGAGUGGGACACAGCAGCUGAGGCCGGGCCCAGGGAGAUCCAGAACUGCAGCCGGGCCUCCCAGCUGCUGCCAGGCGGCCAGAGAUGCGCUCCCCGGAGAACAGCUCCUGCAGCGACUCUUGGAGAGGCUGCACUCCAUGCCCUGCGCUACCUGCCCAGGGCUUUGGCCUGUCCUAGCCAUCAUUCAAAGGGCUUCUGAUUGGCGAAACCCUGGGUGAAGGGGCGCCCCAUACUGAGCGAGGAGCAGCCAGCUAUGGAGGGAGCCCACGCGAGUCUGAUGGCUGUGUCAGGAGCAGGACGUUCAAGUGGCCCUGUGUCUGAGCCAACAAGCGGGACCACGUCUGUGGAUACACAGCCCACUGCGGAGGACCUGCCCUGUUGUUUCAGAGUUGUUUGCCUUGUCAACUACCAUCCCUUAAGCACCUACUGAGUGCUAGGCACUGGGAUACAGGAAGCAAGCAUUGUGGAAAGGACCAGAGGCGCGAACAGAGUGGUUCAUUGAGAAAUCCCUUGAGAACAAAGAUGGGUCUGUUUCUGUAGUGGUUUGGUUUCCAAUAAGAAAGCUGCAUUUGAAUAUCAGCAGGACUGUUUCCUGGUUCCCACAGUCCACGCCUUUGCCUCUGGAAACACUAAAGGUGUGACAAGAGCCCACAGACAUCUGGAGAAAUGAUUUAUUUUAGAAAGUCACCAUUUUUUCCUCCUGAGGGCUCUGAGUUUACCUAACGGUGAGCUGCUUCUCGUUGUGAUGAAGCCAUUUAGAUGUGGACGCUGUCACCACGGAUAAAGAGCUCGUCCCAAAGUCUCUCAAAGAGCCAGCAGAUACCUCCGACGUGGAGUUGUCACCCCACUGGGGGACGUCCCUUGACAGAGCAGAGAAGCCGCCGCUGCACAUGGGUUUCCACUCGUUCAUCAGAGCAUCGGGUCGCAGGUCAGACGUCUGGGGCCAACAACGUUUAGCACUGUGGGUCAUCAGUCCCUGCGGCUGAGGCUGAAGGAAUUGAGCUGGAUCUUUUUAAUGUUUCUGGAACUUGUUUGGAGGCAAAAGACGAGAUUUUUGAAAAUGGAGGCACUUGAUGAGCAUUGCAUAACCCAGGGUAGACUGUGAGUGGAAAUGUCGUCCACUGGCUCUCCAGAUCGUGCGUUUACAAUUCGUGUUGGUCUACACAAAUGGAAGCUGCCUGCGAUUUUUGUGGAAGGCGUGGGGUAAUCCUGUGCUUGGUUUGUUUGAUGUCGAGAAGGCCGACUGGUCUGGCCCUUGUGAAGAGGCAGAGCAGGAAGCUCUGAAGUACGCAGUGAGUGUGUGUGUGUGAGUGAGUGUGUGUGUGAGUGUGUGUGUGUGAGUGAGUGUGUGUGUGAGUGCGUCUAGCGGGGCAGUGGAGUCCGGCAGCACGCGUACCUGAAAAUCCCCCUUCCCUCCCCUGUGAGCCCUGCUGCAGAGGGAGGGGACGCACACGGAACUCUCCUGGAGGACGCUCCUCAGCCCACGGUCCCUCCAUUCACCAAACCGCUCAGGUUAGAAACUGAAGAAUCACCCUUCACUCCUGUCUUUCUGGGUCCAUCCAGAAUCUGACAAUUUCAUCACAGCAUCAAAUAGAUGAGUCAGACCCAUCUACUGCCCGGUGACUGCUGAGGUCUCCUACCUGGUCUCCCAGGAUCUCCCUUAGUCCGUCCCUCGACAGCCUGGUCUCCACACUCAAUCAGUCAUUGUUAUUAAAAUUGUCAGGUCCUGUCACUCCUCUGCUCAAAACCCUCCUCGGGCCUAACACCUCAGCAGCCGGGCCCUUCUCACCUGGCUGCCGUUAGAAUCCCCAUCCCCAGGCUGUCCCCUCACUGAGUGACUCCAGGGUGCAGCCAGGCCAGGAGCCAGUACCCUGAGCUCCCGCCCUGGCCCCUCUGCCUCGUGUCCUUCACUCUCCCUUUGCUCCCACACACCAGCCUCGCCCACCUCCUGUGUUGCUGCCUCAAGGCCAUUGCCUCUGCCUGGACAGCUCCCUCACCUCCUUCAGGUCUCUGGCCAAUGCCACCUCCUCAGAGAGGCCAGCCCACCAUUCUCUACUAUCUGCUCCCUUCUCCUCGAGGGGCUCUCACUAUGUCUCCCACCAGGCUGGGUGGCUCCUGUUUUGUUCCGGAACCCCCAGAGUCUAGAAGAGAGCAGGCACAUAGCAGAGAGCAGGCACAUAGCAGGCACUCAAUUAAGUGUCUUCACUGUAGGAAGAGUGAGUAAGGAUGGUGACCCCACCUGGGCCAGCAGGACUUGUCUAUGGAGGUGACCUUCCCAGUAGAAGGGAGCUGCUGCUUAAAGGGCAAAAGCCCCGGAUCUAGACCUCAGGGGGUAAGGGCUUGAUCAGGGCGACGCCUGCUACCAGCGUGAAUGUCUUCUCCUCUCUGCCUCAGUUUCUUCUUCUGUAUAAUGGGAAUAAUGGGACUUGCUCCUUAGUGUGAGUUUGAGGAUUAAACGCAGUGAUGGAAGUGAUGCUGUUGGCCUGAUUCGAGGCUCAAUAGCAUAAUUAUGGGUCAAGAGCAAGUCAGCUUCAAUCGGAAGCAUUUAAGAGUCAUCUUAUACUCUGACGACUUGAUUUAUGUAUUGAUGAACUCUUACUAUUACCCACUAGGAAUGGCGGCCCAGAGAGGAGCCGUGCGUGGCCCGAAGGUGCA